AGGACGAACGCUGGCGGCGUGCUUAACACAUGCAAGUCGAGCGGAAAGGCCCUUCGGGGUACUCGAGCGGCGAACGGGUGAGUAACACGUGAGCAACCUGCCCUUAGCUCUGGGAUAGCUCCGGGAAAACCGGAUUAAUACCGGAUAUUACACCGGCUGGCAUCGGCUGGUGUGGAAAGAUUUAUCGGCUAAGGAUGGACUCGCGGCCUAUCAGCUUGUUGGUGGGGUAGAAGCCUACCAAGGCGACGACGGGUAGCCC
rnacentral:rRNA from 1 species